rnacentral:lncRNA from 1 species
AGAAAAUGACAAUAGUCCCAACGCGAAUUCACUCUGAAAUUUUACAAGAUCCAACGUGAAAGGCUAGUUCAAAGAAAGCCCGGUAUAAUUUUUCUCAAGAAUAUUAUACAGAUUUUUCUCUACUCCGAUCUUGCCGUCACGAGUUUUGUCGCAAUUAUCGUAUGUUAGAAGGAUUAUUCAGAGAACCGGCUCAGGCAUGUUAAGACUAUCCCCUCUUUCCUUUUGGUAUGAUCUAUACGAAACGAGCAAAUGCACAAUUUUCAUAAAUGACUCUAUUCAUAGAAAUAUUCAGGGUGUCUAUAUUCUUGAUUUCCCAUGUGAAUUAUUAUUAUAUCUUCUGUUCAUGGGUCUCAAAAAAAUACGUAUUUGAUAAAAUUUAUUCGACAUGCAUAUUAUUUUUAUGACAUUCCGAGAAAAUUUUAUUAACGUAUUUCUUAAGGCAUAUUAUUUUUAUGACAUUGCGAGAAAAUAUUAUUAACGUAUUUCUUAUGCAUUUCAUGCAUUUAUACAUAUACAUUGACUCAUGACCAGAUGGCGUUAUAUACGCGUAUAUAUGUAUAUAUAUGUAUAUGAGAUAUGAAAAAAGGUUACGACGUUAUAUACGCACCACCACCUGAUCAGCUAGUAUACGUUGAUGAUUUGUCCACAGUGGCUGAAAUGAUAUGAUGGGAUGCCCUUAGAGGCUUGAUGAUGCUAUGAACGCAUAUACUUAUGCAUGGUAUAAUAUUUAUACGCAUAUGCAUGACAUUAUAAAAAUAAAAUGACUCACAGAGCUAUGCAUACGUACAUGUCGAGUCUUUUACUCCAUGUUUUUCUCAUGUCUAUUAUUUACUAAUUUUCAUUCCUUACAUACUCGGUACAUUAUUUGUACUGACGUCCCUUUUGCCUGGAGACGCUGUGUUUCAUGCCCGCAGGUCUCGAUAGACAGGUCGAGAGUCCUCCAAGUAGGUGAUCAGCUCAGCAGAAGAUAUUGGUGCACUCCAUUUGCUCCGGAGUUGUUUGUUUUAUCAGUAUGAUUUAGAUGUGUAUGGUUUGGUAUGGCGGGGCUCUAUCCCGACCUUUAUGACAAUUAUGUACUCUUGGAGGCUUGCAGACAUAUGUCGUGUACGUGAAAGAUUGUACGGCCUUAUCGGCCUAUGUUUUGAGUUUAUAAAUGAUGAUGAUGGCCUAUUA